CGAACGGGUGAGUAACGCGUAGGUAACCUGCCUAUUAGAGGGGGAUAACUAUUGGAAACGAUAGCUAAUACCGCAUAACAGUAUGUAACACAUGUCAGAUGCUUGAAAGAUGCAAUUGCAUCGCUAGUAGAUGGACCUGCGUUGUAUUAGCUAGUAGGUAGGGUAAUGGCCUACCUAGGCGACGAUACAUAGCCGACCUGAGAGGGUGAUCGGCCACACUGGGACUGAGACACGGCCCAGACUCCUACGGGAGGCAGCAGUAGGGAAUCUUCGGCAAUGGGGGGAACCCUGACCGAGCAACGCCGCGUGAGUGAAGAAGGUUUUCGGAUCGUAAAGCUCUGUUGUUAAGGAAGAACGAGUGUGAAAAUGGAAAGUUCAUACUGUGACG
rnacentral:rRNA from 1 species